UCUGGUUGAUCCUGGCGGAGGUUACUGCUAUCGAGGUUCGACUAAGCCAUGCGAGUCGAAUGUAGCAAUACAUGGCGUACUGCUCAGUAACACGUGGACAACCUACCCUUAGGUCGGGGAUAAACCCGGGAAACUGGGUAUAAUACCCGAUAGUCCUCGGAUGCUGGAAUGCACCGAGGUCUAAAGCUCCGGCGCCUAAGGAUGGGUCUGCGGCCUAUCAGGUAGUAGUGGGUGUAGCGUACCUACUAGCCUACGACGGGUACGGGUUGUGAGAGCAAGAGCCUGGAGAUGGAUUCUGAGACACGAAUCCAGGCCCUACGGGGUGCAGCAGGCGCGAAAACUUUACAAUGCUGGAAACAGCGAUAAGGGGACCUUGAGUGCCAGGUUACAAAUCUGGCUGUCGUGAUGCCUAAAAAGCAUUGCAUAGCAAGGGCCGGGCAAGACCGGUGCCAGCCGCCGCGGUAACACCGGCGGCUCGAGUGGUAACCGCUAUUAUUGGGUCUAAAGGGUCUGUGGCCGGCCGGAUAAGUCUUUUGGGAAAUCUGGCAGCUUAACUGUCAGGCUUUCAGAGGAUACUGUCUGGCUCGAGGCCGGGAGAGGUGAGAGGUACUUCAGGGGUAGGGGUGAAAUCUUGUAAUCCUUGAAGGACCACCAGUGGCGAAGGCGUCUCACCAGAACGGACCUGACGGCGAGGGACAAUCACUAGUGGA
rnacentral:rRNA from 1 species